GCGUGGGAACGUGCCCUUCUCUGCGGAAUAGCCACUGGAAACGGUGAGUAAUACCGCAUACGCCUUCGGGAAGGAUUAUCGAGAAGGAUCGGCCGCGUAGAUUAGAUAGUUGGUGGGGUAAGUGGCCUACCAAGUCUACGAUCUAUAGCUGGUUUUAGUAGGAUGAUCAGCAACACUGGGACUGAGACACGGCCCAGACUCCUACGGGAGGCAGCAGUGGGGAAUCUUAGACAAUGGGCCGCAAGCCUGAUCUAGCCAUGCCGCGUGUGUGAUGAAGGUCUUAGGAUCGUAAAGCACUUU
rnacentral:rRNA from 1 species